rnacentral:rRNA from 3 species
UACGUAGGGAGCAAGCGUUGUCCGGAAUCAUUGGGCGUAAAGCGCGCGUAGGUGGCCCGGUAAGUCCGCUCUGAAAGUCACAGGCUCAACCUGUGAAAGCGGGUGGAUACUGCCGGGCUAGAGUCCGGAAGAGGCGAGUGGAAUUCCUGGUGUAGCGGUGGAAUGCGCAGAUAUCAGGAGGAACACCAACGGCGAAGGCAGCUCGCUGGGACGGUACUGACACUGAGGCGCGAAAGCGUGGGGAGCGAACAGG